rnacentral:lncRNA from 1 species
AAGAAAUACAAGCUUCUAUUUGAGUUUGUGUGAGAUACUGUUUGGGUUUCCCAUGAGUUGCUGGCUCAGCACUUGAUUGGCAUGUGAGCAAGCCAAUGAGAUUGAAGUGAGAGCUGGCUGGGUGGGCCACUCAGAGUGGUAGGCAGAAUUGGCAGUUAAGGAAAGAAGCAGAAAUGUAUAAGUUUCCAUGUGCUUCUCAGGGGCCAGGCUUCCUCAGAACCCUUCCCUUCCAGCUUGAUUCGCUGUUAUGAUAAGCAGGAUGGCCUUCAACUCAGAAUCGCAGGCUAUUCCAGCAGGAUGGAACCCUUGGCCUCAACAUCAUGGGAUGGUUGAAGACAUGAAAGUCCUGUUUUGCCCCUUCCAGUUUCUUGGUCACCCCCUAAAACCAUACGGUUGAGAAAUAAAGGAGACGAGGAUGUACUGCAUUCCCUUUUCCUCUCAUUGCUAUCUAGCAUGGUUGAAAGCACUGCUUCUUACUUGCUAAAGCCCUUUAGGAAGUUUCCACACUUACGGCCUUAGGCCCUAAAGCAGCAGGCCAUUU